rnacentral:tRNA from 1 species
GCCUGGGUGGCUCAGUCGGUUGAGCGUCUGGCUUCAGCUCGGGUCAUGAUCUCACGGUUCGUGGGUUAGAGCCCCGCAUCAGGCU